rnacentral:misc_RNA from 1 species
AAGUCGUAACAAGGUUUCUGUAGGUGAACCUGCAGAAGGAUCAUUAAUGAGAAUAGGGGCUGGAUUCUUUAUCCGCCCCCGACCUUUCGAUCCACACACACCUGUGAACACACAACCAUACCCGCCUAGCUUUGGCCAAGGUGUGGUAGUCACUUUAUUAACACGGUUAUUGAGUGUAAAUACAAAUCCUCCAAAGCGGGGUGAAAGCUAAAUACAACUUUCGGCAAUGGAUCUCUUGGUUCU